rnacentral:piRNA from 1 species
AACCGUGUAGUGAGCAAUCUGCUCUAU